rnacentral:lncRNA from 1 species
UUAUUAAUGGUAUUCACAGUUGCAAACCAUUGUGCUUUCUUCUUCUCCAGUAAUUGUCUUGUGUUCUCAGUUUCUCCCUUUUUUGUAAUUGAUGACCUUUAUGAUAAUUUUAUGUAUUUAUUGUCUUUGAAAGUCAAUCCAGGUCUUCUAAAACCUGUGGCUUGUUUCUUGCUCUUCAGCCUAACAUUAUUUUGUUUGUUUUUUGUUUUUCAAGAUAGGGUUUUGCUGUGUAGCCUUGGCUGUCCUGGAACUCACUCUAUAGAACAGGCUGGCCUCAAACCCAGAGAGUAACAUGGCUAUUUUUGUUUAAAACAACUUCCCAUAAUAUUUUCUUUUCUUUGUGAACCAACUGCUUAAGCAGAAUGUGCUGUAAUUAACUCUGUCGUGGCUAACCUAUCAUUUAGGAGAUCUCUAGGUAUGUCUUCGAAGGCAUUGUACAGAGAAGUAAUUUAGCUGAGGAUGGAAAAUUCACCAAAGCACCUUUUCACAGUCUACAAAGUUAAAGAGGAGGCAGAUAGCUGAGUGCUGCAUGCAUCUUUCUUGCCUUACUUUAGAGAAAGUGUGUGAUCAGCUGCCCUGUGCCUGCUACAGUGGACCUGUCUCUUAAAGCCAUGAGCUAAAAUAAAUCCUCCCUUAAUCUUCCCUUUGUCAGGAUACUUUUAAAUUUUAAAAUCCCUAGUAUAAAAGAGACAUUAAUAUUUAUAUGUCAGAAAUUGAGUUUGAUGUCAGACCUUAAUUUU